AACGCGAAGAACCUUACCUCGGCUUGACAUGCACCUGGUACCAAAGGGAAACCUGAGGGACCCGCAAGGGAGGGUGCACAGAUGCUGCAUGGCUGUCGUCAGCUCGUGCCGUGAGAUGUUGGGUUAAGUCCCGCAACGAGCGCAACCCCUGUAGAUUGUUGCCACCGGAGAAAUCCGCGCACUCAAGCUAGACUGCCCAGUUUAACUGGGAGGAAGGUGGGGACGACGUCAAGUCCGUAUGGCCCUUACGCCCAGGGCUGCACACGUACUACAAUGCUCAGUACAAAAGGAACCGAAGCCGCAAGGUGGGGGAAAUCCUCUAAAACUGGGCUCAGUUCAGAUUGCAGGCUGCAACUCGCCUGCAUGAAGUUGGAAUCGCUAGUAAUGGCGCAUCAGCUACGGCGCCGUGAAUACGUUCCCGGGCCUUGUACACACCGCUCGUC
rnacentral:rRNA from 1 species